ACCACAAAUUAACCAUUUCAUGACGAUUUUAAAAAAUGGACAAAAGGUGGUCAGAAAUUAUUGACGAACCGAACUGGUGACAAAAAUGGUCAGUAAUUUGUGACCAAGUCUUGACCAAUUUAUUAUCGUCAUAAAAAUGGUCAGAAAUGGAUCGAAAAGUGGUCAGAUUUUUCUAUAAUAUUGAACCAUUUCUUUCAGUUUGUAUCGUGCGGCGCAUAUCUCCCUAUCGAGAAGAUUCUCAAAUGAUGGUUACUGGAGAGCAAUUUUGGUAAAUGUUUCUUUUAUAUAUUUGGAUGAUUUUCAAUGACAGCUUUGUAAAUGAUUUUCUUAAUAAACUUGCGUAAAGUUAAGACUGAUUUAUUUCUUACACAUCAAAGAGAUCAACACUCUAGUUUUCAUGGUAAGUUUUUUUUUUCAUGGUAAGUUAGCUUUCAUUGUUAAUUGUUUUUUUGUUCUUUCUUAUAUAUUUCUCGUUUUAUAGGAAAGUCGUGCAAUUAAAGGUAACAGUUUUGGAUUUGCAAGAUUGCCAGACCCAGGACAACUACCUUCUUCAGCUAGUUUCAUGUCUACUUCGGACCAAGCAGAACACAAAUGAGAAGAGAGCUAACUUACCAUGUAGAUGAGCAAAUUUCCAGAAUUACUUGUUGUAGAAGAAGACGCCACUGAAAAAUAGUUCUGUAAUAGUUAUUUUGCUUGCAUUUUUGUGGUUAAAAAUUCAGUAACGAGCAAUUCUAGCUUUCUUAUAAUUUUUUUUUAACUUUAUGUAAGUAUGCUAAGACAAUUUCAAUAUUAAUUAUUUAGGUUUCAACUUUAAAAUU